rnacentral:rRNA from 1 species
GACGAACGCUGGCGGCGUGCUUAACACAUGCAAGUCGAACGGUGAACCACUUCGGUGGGAUCAGUGGCGAACGGGUGAGUAACACGUGGGCAACCUGCCCUUAGCUCUGGGAUAACCCCGGGAACCGGGGACGUAAUACCGGAUACGACCUCGAGCGGCAUCACUCGAGGUGGAAAGAACUUCGGCUAAGAUGGGCCCGCGGCCUAUCAGCUUGUUGGUGGGGUAACGGCCUACCAAGGCGACGACGGGUAGCCGGCCNGAGAGGGCGACCGGCCACACUGGGACUGAGACACGGCCCAGACUCCUACGGGAGGCAGCAGUGGGGAAUAUUGCGCAAUGGGCGAAAGCCUGACGCAGCGACGCCG